rnacentral:rRNA from 1 species
AGAGUUUGAUCCUGGCUCAGGACGAACGCUGGCGGCGCGCCUAACACAUGCAAGUCGAACGAGCGAGAGAUAGCUUGCUUUCUCGAGCGAGUGGCGAACGGGUGAGUAACGCGUGAGGAACCUGCCUCAAAGAGGGGGACAACAGUUGGAAGCGACUGCUAAUACCGCAUAAGCCCACGACCCGGCAUCGGGUAGAGGGAAAAGGAGCAAUCCGCUUUGAGAUGGCCUCGCGUCCGAUUAGCUAGUUGGUGAGGUAAUGGCCCACCAAGGCGACGAUCGGUAGCCGGACUGAGAGGUUGAACGGCCACAUUGGGACUGAGACACGGCCCAGACUCCUACGGGAGGCAGCAGUGGGGAAUAUUGCACAAUGGGGGAAACCCUGAUGCAGCGACGCCGCGUGGAGGAAGAAGGUCUUCGGAUUGUAAACUCCUGUUGUUGAGGAAGAUAAUGACGGUACUCAACAAGGAAGUGACGGCUAACUACGUGCCAGCAGCCGCGGUAAAACGUAGGUCACAAGCGUUGUCCGGAAUUACUGGGUGUAAAGGGAGCGCAGGCGGGAAGACAAGUUGGAAGUGAAAUCCAUGGGCUCAACCCAUGAACUGCUUUCAAAACUGUUUUUCUUGAGUAGUGCAGAGGUAGGCGGAAUUCCCGGUGUAGCGGUGGAAUGCGUAGAUAUCGGGAGGAACACCAGUGGCGAAGGCGGCCUACUGGGCACCAACUGACGCUGAGGCUCGAAAGUGUGGGUAGCAAACAGGAUUAGAUACCCUGGUAGUCCACACUGUAAACGAUGAUUACUAGGUGUUGGAGGAUUGACCCCUUCAGUGCCGCAGUUAACACAAUAAGUAAUCCACCUGGGGAGUACGACCGCAAGGUUGAAACUCAAAGGAAUUGACGGGGGCCCGCACAAGCAGUGGAGUAUGUGGUUUAAUUCGACGCAACGCGAAGAACCUUACCAAGUCUCGACAUCCUGCGACGCACAUAGAAAUAUGUGUUUCCUUCGGGACGCAGAGACAGGUGGUGCAUGGUUGUCGUCAGCUCGUGUCGUGAGAUGUUGGGUUAAGUCCCGCAACGAGCGCAACCCUUAUGGUCAGUUACUACCCAAGAGGACUCUGGCCAGACUGCCGUUGACAAAACGGAGGAAGGUGGGGAUGACGUCAAAUCAUCAUGCCCUUUAUGACUUGGGCUACACACGUACUACAAUGGCGUUAAACAAAGAGAAGCAAGACCGCGAGGU